GACGAACGCUGGCGGCGUGCCUAAUACAUGCAAGUCGAACGCACAGUUUAUACCGUUGCUUGCUACACCAUAGACUGUGAGUUGCGAGCAACUGAGUAACACGUAAGUUACCUGCCUGGUAGCAGGGGGGGACUCUUGGAAACGAUAGCUAAUACCGCAUAAUAUUAAUUGUUGCAUGAUAAUUAAUUGAAUGGUGCAAUUGCACCACUACCUGAUGGCCCUACGUUGUAUUAGCUAGUAGGUGAGGUAACGGCUCUACUAGGCGACGAUACAUAGCCGACCUGAGAGGGUGAUCGGCCAACCUGGGACUGAGACACGGCCCAGGCUCCCACCGGAGGCAGCAGGAGGGAAUCGUCGGCAAUGGGCGAAAGGCCUACCGAGCAACGCCGCGGGAGGUAAGAAGGGUUUCGGAUCGGAAAGAUCCGUUGUAAGGGAAGAACGGGUGUGAGAGUGGAAAGUUCACACUGUGACGGUACCUGACCAGAAAGCGACGGCUAACUACGUG
rnacentral:rRNA from 1 species